rnacentral:rRNA from 1 species
UACGGGGGGGGCAAGCGUUGUUCGGAAUUACUGGGCGUAAAGGGCUCGUAGGCGGCCAACUAAGUCAGACGUGAAAUCCCUCGGCUCAACCGGGGAACUGCGUCUGAUACUGGAUGGCUUGAGUGUGGGAGAGGGAUGCGGAAUUCCAGGUGUAGCGGUGAAAUGCGUAGAUAUCUGGAGGAACACCGGUGGCGAAGGCGGCAUCCUGGACCACGACUGACGCUGAGGAGCGAAAGCCAGGGGAGCAAACGGG